rnacentral:rRNA from 1 species
AUACGUAGGGGGCGAGCGUUGUCCGGAAUGAUUGGGCGUAAAGGGUGCGCAGGCGGCCGUGCAAGUCAGCGGUGAAAGCCCGGGGCUCAACCCCGGAAGUGCCGUUGAUACUGCAUGGCUGGAAUGCGGUCGAGGCGGGCGGAACGGGGGGUGUAGCGGGGAAAUGCGUAGAUAUGGCGAAGAACGCCGAUAGCGGAGGCAGCUCGCGAGGCUGGCAUUGACGCUCGGGCACUAAAGCGUGGGGAUCGAACAGGAUUAGAUACCCUGGUAGUCCACGCCGUAAACGAUGGGCGCUCGUCGUCGGCGGCAGACAGUCGGCGGCCAAGCGAAAGCGAUAAGCGCCCCACCUGGGGAGUACGGUCGCAAGGCUGAAACUCAAAUGAAUUGACGGGG